rnacentral:rRNA from 1 species
CUACGGGUGGCACCAGUGGGGAAUAUUGGACAAUGGGGGAAACCCUGAUCCAGCAAUGCCGCGUGUGUGAAGAAGGCCUGCGGGUUGUAAAGCACUUUCGGUUGGGAGGACUGCUUCUAGCACUAAUAUUGUUGGAAGUUGACGUUACCUUCAGAAGAAGCACCGGCUAACUCCGUGCCAGCAGCCGCGGUAAUACGGAGGGUGCAAGCGUGAAUCGGAAUUACUGGGCGUAAAGCGCGCGUAGGCGGCUAGAUCAGUCGGGUGUGAAAGCCCCGGGCUUAACCUGGGAACUGCAUCCGAUACUGUCUAGCUUGAGUACAGGAGAGGAGAGUGGAAUUCCACAUGUAGCGGUGAAAUGCGUAGAUAUGUGGAGGAACACCAAUGGCGAAGGCAGCUCUCUGGCCUGAUACUGACGCUGAGGUGCGAAAGCGUGGGGAACAAACAGGAUUAGAUACCCUCGUAGUC